rnacentral:lncRNA from 1 species
GGGGGGUUUUACCUUCUAUUUAUAGCCUGGUGGGGUGAACGCGCGCCGUUGGAUCAAACCGACUUGACAAGCGGUCGAGAUGGCUCCUCAGAGGCGGUGGAGGAAGCUUCCAGAAGGGGGGAGCUAACCCUAACACUAGGGGGCCGGCCGGCGCUAGGGUGGGGCCUGCCGGCCCCAACUGGUGGUGGCUGGCUCCCCCCUCUCAUCGGGUGUCUUCUAGAGUGUUCCUGAAUCCUCCGGUGUCAUCCUUUUGUCGCGGCUAAGUUUCGCGACCGAUUAGCACUUAAAUCCGUCUUUUAGCACUUUCUAAAAUAAUCCCU